rnacentral:tRNA from 1 species
CGUUCAGUUGGUAGGAUAUUCCCUUGUCACGGGAAAGAUCGCGGGUUCGAGUCCCCUA